GCCUGUCUGGCUCAGUCAGUAGAGCAUGUGACUCUAGAUCUUGGGGUUGUAAGUUCAAGCCCCAUGUUAGGUG
rnacentral:tRNA from 1 species